UACGGAGGGUGCAAGCGUUAAUCGGAAUUACUGGGCGUAAAGGGCGCGUAGGCGGAUACUUAAGUUAGAUGUGAAAUCCCUGGGCUUAACCUAGGAACUACAUCUAAGACUGGGUAUCUGGAGUGCGGUAGAGGGUAGUGGAAUUUCCGGUGUAGCGGUGAAAUGCGUAGAUAUCGGAAGGAACACCAGUGGCGAAGGCGGCUACCUGGACUGACACUGACGCUGAGGUGCGAGAGCGUGGGGAGCAAACAGG
rnacentral:rRNA from 1 species